rnacentral:lncRNA from 1 species
GUUUCCUGAGACGUGUGCUCGUCUGCGGAGACGAGGGACAGGAAGGCUCUCCAAGCCGAGAGAGGGAGGACCCAUCUGGCUGGAGGGUCAAGGGCUACUGCCACCCGAACCAGAGGGCAAAACGGAGCUGGGUCUGUGCAGACUAACAACGUCCCGCGCCUGGGGGUCACAGCGCUCGAGGGAGAACACGUCGCCGAGCGUGCAUGUUACAGACGGAGCCCCCUUUUCAGCACACAGACACUGGGGGGCAAGGGCCGAUCACUGUUCUCCGCUUGCUGGCAGGCGGAAUGUUGCCUGUGACGGAGGUACGGAAAUCGUAAAUGUUUUUUUUGUUUGUUUUGACCCGUCUUUCCUCAUGCAGGUGGAUGCUGCACAUUGGUGGAGCUGGAGGGGAUCCCCAUUACCUGUAAAGCGCUUUGAGUGGAGUGUCCAGAAAAGUGCUAUAUAAGCGUAAGCAAUUAUUAAUUAUUAUUAUUAUUAUGCGAGACGUCAAG